CUCAAUAAAGCUGAUUAAAAGAAAGCAGCAACAACAACAAAACCGAGUCCAGAUUGCAAAAGAAGAACCCUCAGGACAGAGGAUCAGCAGUACUUGGGACUCAGAAGCAGCUCCAGCACAGGAGCAGUGUGCUCCCACGUGGACACAGAGAGGGAGAGGCUUGCUCCACGCCUGCUUCUAGACUUCAGUCCCUGCAGCUCAAUAGUUGCUGCUAAGAUCUUCUACCUGGCCGAGGUUCCCUACCCAAGUAUGAGUGAACCAGAUGUUAAAA
rnacentral:lncRNA from 10 species